rnacentral:rRNA from 1 species
CCUACGGGUGGCAGCAGUGGGGAAUAUUGCACAAUGGGGGAAACCCUGAUGCAGCGACGCCGCGUGAGUGAAGAAGUAUUUCGGUAUGUAAAGCUCUAUCAGCAGGGAAGAAAAUGACGGUACCUGAUUAAGAAGCCCCGGCGAACUACGGGCCAGCAGCCGCGGUAAUACGUAGGGGGCAAGCGUUAUCCGGAUUUACUGGGUGUAAAGGGAGGGUAGACGGCAGCAAAAGUCUGGAGUGAAAUUCCGGGGCUUAACCCCGGAACUGCUGUUGAAACUGUGCAGUUAGAGUGCAGGAGAGGUAAGUGGAAUUCGUGGUGUAGCGGUGAAAUGCGUAGAUAUUAGGAGGAACACCAGUGGCGAAGGCGGCUUACUGGACUGUAACUGACGUUGAGGCUCGAAAGCGUGGGUAUCGAACAGGAUUAGAUACCCGUGUAGUC